rnacentral:lncRNA from 1 species
UUAAAAUUUGGUACAAUUUGACUGAAAUAACCUAAUUUAAUACAUAUUAAAAACUGCAUUAAAAAAUAGAAGAAAUAGAGAGUGAAAAAUGAGUAAUAAAUAAGAGUAUAAUUAGAAAAUAAAGUAUUGAUAUACAUUAAUUCCAAAACAUCAAAAGCUUUACGAUAAUAAAAAAAAUUAAAACGUUAAAAGAAAUCGAACUAAUAAAAAUAUUAUUAGAGGAAAAAGAGGUUGGGAGGAGUUACUAAAGUAGUCCCAAUUCAACAGAUAAUGUCAUUAACUUAACCUUGUUUAAUCGGGGCAUGUAUAUUGAUAAUUAAAAGG